GUUGGGUAGGGGAGCGUUCUGUAAGCCUGUGAAGGUGGCCUGUGAGGGUUGCUGGAGGUAUCAGAAGUGCGAAUGCUGACAUAAGUAACGAUAAAGCGGGUGAAAAGCCCGCUCGCCGGAAGACCAAGGGUUCCUGUCCAACGUUAAUCGGGGCAGGGUGAGUCGACCCCUAAGGCGAGGCCGAAAGGCGUAGUCGAUGGGAAACGGGUUAAUAUUCCCGUACUUGGUGUUACUGCGAAGGGGGGACGGAGAAGGCUAUGUUGGCCGGGCGACGGUUGUCCCGGUUUAAGCGUGUAGGUGUGUGUUCCAGGUAAAUCCGGUUCACUUUAACACUGAGGCGUGAUGACGAGGCACUACGGUGCUGAAGUAACAAAUGCCCUGCUUCCAGGAAAAGCCUCUAAGCAUCAGGUAACAUCAAAUCGUACCCCAAACCGACACAGGUGGUCAGGUAGAGAAUACCAAGGCGCUUGAGAGAACUCGGGUGAAGGAACUAGGCAAAAUGGUGCCGUAACUUCGGGAGAAGGCACGCUGACACGUAGGUGAAGUGAUUUACUCAUGGAGCUGAAGUCAGUCGAAGAUACCAGCUGGCUGCAACUGUUUAUUAAAAACACAGCACUGUGCAAACACGAAAGUGGACGUAUACGGUGUGACGCCUGCCCGGUGCCGGAAGGUUAAUUGAUGGGGUCAGCGCAAGCGAAGCUCCUGAUCGAAGCCCCGGUAAACGGCGGCCGUAACUAUAACGGUCCUAAGGUAGCGAAAUUCCUUGUCGGGUAAGUUCCGACCUGCACGAAUGGCGUAAUGAUGGCCAGGCUGUCUCCACCCGAGACUCAGUGAAAUUGAACUCGCUGUGAAGAUGCAGUGUACCCGCGGCAAGACGGAAAGACCCCGUGAACCUUUACUAUAGCUUGACACUGAACAUUGAGCCUUGAUGUGUAGGAUAGGUGGGAGGCUUUGAAGCGUGGACGCCAGUCUGCGUGGAGCCGACCUUGAAAUACCACCCUUUAAUGUUUGAUGUUCUAACGUGGACCCGUGAUCCGGGUUGCGGACAGUGUCUGGUGGGUAGUUUGACUGGGGCGGUCUCCUCCUAAAGAGUAACGGAGGAGCACGAAGGUUGGCUAAUCCUGGUCGGACAUCAGGAGGUUAGUGCAAUGGCAUAAGCCAGCUUGACUGCGAGCGUGACGGCGCGAGCAGGUGCGAAAGCAGGUCAUAGUGAUCCGGUGGUUCUGAAUGGAAGGGCCAUCGCUCAACGGAUAAAAGGUACUCCGGGGAUAACAGGCUGAUACCGCCCAAGAGUUCAUAUCGACGGCGGUGUUUGGCACCUCGAUGUCGGCUCAUCACAUCCUGGGGCUGAAGUAGGUCCCAAGGGUAUGGCUGUUCGCCAUUUAAAGUGGUACGCGAGCUGGGUUUAGAACGUCGUGAGACAGUUCGGUCCCUAUCUGCCGUGGGCGCUGGAGAACUGAGGGGGGCUGCUCCUAGUACGAGAGGACCGGAGUGGACGCAUCACUGGUGUUCGGGUUGUCAUGCCAAUGGCACUGCCCGGUAGCUAAAUGCGGAAGAGAUAAGUGCUGAAAGCAUCUAAGCACGAAACUUGCCCCGAGAUGAGUUCUCCCUGAGACCAGUCUCU
rnacentral:rRNA from 1 species